AUGGACGAUCUGAAGUUGCUGAUGCGGAUUAAAGAUUUCUCCACCUCGUGUGUUCUCUGCUUCACUGAAACCUGGUUCAGGAAAGAGACACCGGACAGCGCGCUCCUCCUCGAGGGAUUCCAGCUGUUCCGUGCCGACCGCGACCUGGCGCUCUCUGGGGAGAGAGCAGGCGGUGGAGUCUGCUUCUACAUCAACAGCGACUGGUGCACUGAUGUGACUGUGAUCUCCCAGCACUGUUCUCCUGCUGUGGAAUACCUCUUCAUCAACUGCAGACCCUUCUAUUCUCCGCGUGAGUUCGCUUCAUUCAUUCUGGCCACUGUUUACAUCUCGCCAGACGCGGACGCGCGCGAGGCUCAGCGCACGCUCGCGGACUGUAUUCAACAAGUGGAGCGGACCCAUCCCGACGCUCUGGUUAUCGUGCUUGGUGACUUUAAUCAGAGCAACCUGAGAUACGAGCUCCCCAGGUACAAACAGUUUAUCAAAUGCCCCACCAGAGCAGAGAACACGCUGGAUCACUGCUACACCACAGUGAAGGACGCGUAUCGGGCCGUCCCCCGUGCUGCGCUAGGACUGUCUGAUCACGUGAUGGUCCACCUGAUCCCCACAUACAGACAGAAACUGAAACUAACAAAGCCAGCCGUGAGCACCACGAAGAGAUGGACCAGUGAGGCUGUGGAGGAGCUGCGCACGUGCUUGGACACAACUGACUGGGACAUGUUUAAAGGGGCCACACAUGAUCUGGAUGAGUACACGGACACUGUGACCUCAUAUAUCCACUUUUGUGAGGAGUGCAUUCUACCAAUGCGCACUAGGGUGAGUUAUUCCAAUGACAAGCCCUGGUUCACACCGAGACUCAGACAGAUCAGGAAAGAAAAGGAAGCAGCGCUGAAAAGUGGAGACAGAGACUGCUACAGAGAGGCCAAAUACCGGUUUAGCAAGGAACUGAGGAGAGCUAAAUCUGUGUAUUCGGAGAAACUUCAGCAGCAGUUUACUGCUAACGACUCUGCUUCUGUGUGGAGAGGCCUGAGGCAGAUCACCGACUACAGGCCUCAGGCUUCAAAGGGUCAGGACGACAAAGCCCUUUGUCAGAGUCUGUCCCUCCACUAUGCCCGCUUUGAUACCUCGUCAGCCAUGCCCAACACCUCCCCUCCCCCCAGUGCCACUGCCCCCAUGGACCUCACUCCAUCAAAGGCAGUCCCCUCCCCCCCCCCCCCCCCCCCUCCACUCACCAUCAGUGAACAGGAUGUCGCAGGCAGUUCGCCAGGUUGA
rnacentral:lncRNA from 1 species